ACCACUGUUCCUGAAACCUGGUCAGAGCGGAAGUUCUAUCUGUGAAGCCUGUCCUCAAGGAUGGACAGUUCUCACGCUACAAGGUCCUGUGUGCUCAUCUUUUUUGUGGCCCUACUCUGUGCAGAAAGAGCUCAGGGGCUGGAGUGCUACCACUGCCCAGAUGACCCACGAGAGUCUUCCUGCAAUACCACAACCUGCCCCUUCCCUGAUGGAUUCUGUGUUACUCAGGAGGCAGAAAUUAUUGUGGACUCUCAAAGAAGGAAAGUAAAGAGCCAUCAGUGCCUUUCUUACUGCCCUACUGAUCUUGAAAAUAGCCCGAUCAAGGAUCCUAAGGUCAAGGUGAAGAUUUCCUGUUGCCAGGAAGACCUCUGCAAUGCAGCAGUUCCCACUGAAGGCAGCACCUGGACCAUGGCAGGGGUGCUUCUGUUCAGCCUGAGCUCAGUCCUCCUGCAGACCUUGCUGUGAUGGUCCUUCCAACAACCCUCACCCUUGUCCUUUUAUCCUCAUGUGCAACCACUCUUUCCUGGAGUCCUCUAGUGAUGAAUUAUGAGUUAUAGAAGCUCCAAGGUGGGAGUACUGUGUGGAACACCCUGUUUUACCUUUAUAGCCCCUGCUGGGUAGGUGCCCCACUCCUCUCUAAGGCUUUCAGAUCUGUACUUCCUGGAAUGUUAUUUUGUUGUGGCUUGCAAUUCCUGGCCCUGGAGGCAUGUGGCCAGCACAGGCAUGAGCCAGUAUUCCAAGGUGUUAUGCCAUCACCAUCCACACAUAAGUAUCUGGAGUCCUGCAGGGUUCCGAUGUGUGCUGGUCAAUGUCCCCCUUUUGAGUCCAAUAAACCCUUUAUUCUCCCA
rnacentral:lncRNA from 1 species